rnacentral:lncRNA from 1 species
GCAUUUGCUCCAGCUGUGUUUCCACCAACAACCUCAGUGCUGGUUCCUCCUUGCUGAGUCAUUUAGGCUGACUCAUCUUCUGGACUCCAGAGAUUCCCUAACUGCAUGCUUCAGUUAGGGAAAGCUUAUAAAGUUGAUUCACUGACUGCUGGUUUGAAAUGGUGUCUGCUAACAAACAGUUGCUGGUACAGCUUCUCUGUAAUGUGAGGUAAAAUACCUAUAAAAGCUUAGAAGAAGAUGUAAACUCAGAACACAGCCAUAAACUUGGACUGACAAUCCCCUGAAGACUGGAUCUGGGAGGACUUUUUGCCAAUAGUACUGCCAAUGAAACUGAAAAGAAAAGAACAUUCUAUGGGUGUGGGUGUGUUACUGAGGAAAUGCUCUGUAGGCAAGAGGUAAGAAGGACUAUUAUUUUCAUUGUGCAUCUCCUGGAUGGGGAUCCCCUGGAUGAUGGGUCCCCUCAAUUGUGUAUACUUGAAUGGAUUCUCUGGUGAAAAUUGAUGACCACCCAGAACUUUAGUAUGUGCCUUUUUUUUUUUUUUUUUUUUUUGUAAAUACCUUAUCUGCAGAUACAAUGGAUUAAGAUUUAAAAUGAGACCAUACUGGGUAGGCUGGAUCCUGAAUCUAAUGAAAGCAUCUUUAUAAGGGACGGAAAGACACAUACAGUGACUCACAGACAGAAUAUGUUUCAGGCCACAUGAAGACAGACACAGAAACUGGAAUGGUGGGGUCACAAGCCAAAGAAUGCCAGGAGCCAACAAAAGCUCAAAGAGGCAAGGAAGGACUCUGUCGUAGAGACUUCAGAGAGAGCAUGCCCCUGCUGGCACUUUAUUUUGGACUGACCUCCAGAAUCGUGAGAGGAUAUAUUUUUGUUGUAUUAUGGGCAACCCUAGGAAACUAAUACAAUGGAAAACUCAAGUUUAUGCCAAGUGUUGAAAAUGGAAAUGCCUAAGAUAAUGAAAAUGAGUGGGUUGACCAGGGAGGCACAGAGGUGAAGUUGAGAGGCCACAUGGUCUAUGAAGACACAUCCAAUUGUUGUCUUCUAAGAAUGCAGACAUGGACUUGCCAAAUAUUUUUACAGUUCAGAAGAAGCUAGAAAUUUGGAUUUCAUUUGUGUGCUCUUUUUUUUUUUUUUAACAUUGCCCUAAUUUUAUUUCAAAUGUGGUACUAACCGUGUCAAACAUGUUUGAGAAAGUCAUGGGUAGCCAGUAUGGUGCCUCCUGUCUGGGUCUGUAUUAGUUUGUUCUCAUGCUGUUGAUAAUGACAUACCCGCAGCUGGGUAAUUUAUAAAGGAAAAGGGGUUUAAUGGACUCACAGUUUCACAUGGCUGGGGAAGCCUCACAAUCAUGGUGGAAGAUGAAGGAAGAGCAAAGGGACAUCUUACAUGGCACCAGGCAAAAGCAAGUCCAGGAAGAAGUUGCACAGAAUACUAUUUUAGUCUACCAGAACCACGGUUAGUAAAGCCUGCUGGAAUGUGGAGCUGAUCUAGGAGCUGUGGGCAUUCAGCUGGACAGUGGUUCUUUCAACUGCUCCUUAUGUGAAGAAUUUCUCCAGGAUUCAUCAUUCCAUCUGGAUCUGUAUAAAUAAAGCUGAAGUUCUGGUCAUGACCACUCCCUGGAUCACUCCUGCCCCUGUGUUCCUGGAGCCUCAGAGUUUUGCGUCACAUGAGCUCCCAAGCUCUUCCUUUCUCAUUCAUCUGCUUUGGUUCAUUCUUGUUGAGACUCACUAUAAGGAAAGCACCUCAUCCUGCUACAGCUGGGUACAGAACUCUGAUGUCUUCAUAAAAGUUGCUGCCUCUUGGGAGCUGUGAGCAUUGGGAUCAGCCAGUAUGGCACAUUUGCUGCUACCUCAGGGCGUGAGAGCAUGCUAAGCUCCACAUGAAGGCCUCACUUUCCCACACUAUCUCCACUGAGCACUGAAGUGAUGAUGUUGUGUCCCUGUGUCUCAGGGGUAAAUGGAGGCAGCCUUUUUCUUUUCAGGGCUGACACAAAAAGUCAAUGGGGCUUGGGGAUGAAUAACAACAAAGGACAGGCCCUCUUGCAUGAGGUCAGUCCCUCCUGCUCCUGCCCUCAAAUGUAUAUGCAAAACUAUUUUCCUUGUUCUGUGCAUGAGGUCACUGUCUAUGGUCCCAUUGAUAUGGUUUGGCUAUGGACUGACCUAAAUCUCAUCUUGAAUUGUAAUAAUCCCCAUAUGUCAAGGGUGGGGUCAGGUGGAGGUAAUGGAAUCACAGGGGGUGGCUUCCCCCAUACUAUUCUCAUGAUAGUGAAAAAGUCUCACGAAAUCUGAUAGUUUUAUAAAUGGGAGUUUCCCUGCACAAGCUCUCUUGCCUGCUGCCAUGUAAGACAUGAUUUUGCUCCUCAUUUGCCUUCCAUAAUGAUUGUGAGACCUCCCCAGCCAUGUGGAACUGUGAGUCAAUUAAACCUCUUUCCUUUAUAAAUUACCCAGUGUUGGGUAUAUCUUUAUUAGCAGUGUGGGAACAGGCUAAUACAGUAAUUGGUACCAGUAGAGUGGGAUUCUGCUGUAAAGAUACCCCAAAAAUGUGGAGGUGACUAUGGAACUGGGUAACAGGCAGAAGUUGGAACAGUUUGGAGGACUCAGAAGACAGGAAAAUGUGGAAAAGUUUGGAGCUUUAUAGAGACUCGGAGGGCUCAUAAGCCAGGAAAAUACGGGAAAGUUUGGAAUUUCCUAGAGACUUGUUGAAUGGUUUUGACCAAAAUGCUGAUAGUGAUAUGGAAAAUAAAGUCCAGGUUGAGGAGGUCUCAGAUGGAGAUGAAGAGCAAAGGUAACUCUUGUCAUGCUUUAGCAAAAAGACUGGCAGCAUUUUGCUUCUGCCAUAGAGAUCUGUGGAACUUGGAACUUGAGAAAGAUGAUUUAGGCAUCCGGUGGAAGAAAUUUUUAAAUAGCAAGGCAUUCAAGAUGUGACUUGGGUGCUGUUAAAAGCAUUCAGUUUUCUGUAUUCACAAAGAUAUGGUUUGGAAUCAGAACUUAUGCUUAAAAGGGAAGCAGAGCAUAAAAAUUUAGAAAAUUUGCAGGCUGAUGAUGCAAUAGAAAAGAAAAACCCAUUUUCUGAGGAGAAAUUCAAGCCUGCUGCAGAAAUUUGCGUAAAUAAUGAGGAGAAAAAUGUUAAUCACCAAGAAAAUGCAGAAAAUGUCUCCAGGGUAUCACAGAGAGAUUUGCAGCAGCCCCUCCCAUCACAGGCCUAGAGGCCUAGGAGGAAAAAAUGGUUUCGUGGGCUGGGCCCAUGGCCUCGCUGCUCUGUGCAGCCUAGGGACUUGGUGCUCUGUGUCCCAGCCACUCUAGCUGUGGCUAAAAGAGGACAAGGUACAGCUCAGGCUGUGGCUUCAGAGGGUGGAAGCCCCAAGCCUUGGCAGCUUCCAUGUGGUGUUGAGCUUGUGGGUGCACAGAAGUUAGGAAUUGAGGUUUGGAAACCUCUGCCUAGUUUCAGAAGAAGUAUGGAAGCACCUGGAUGUCCAGGCAGAAGUUUGCCGUAGGGGUAGGGUCCUCAUGGAGAACCUCUGCUAGGGCUGUGUGAAAGAGCAAUGUGGGGUGGGGUCCCCCAGACAGAGUCCCUACUUGGGCACUGCCUAGUGGAGCUGUGAGAAGAAGCCCACCAUCCCGCAGACUCCAGAGUGGUAGGUCCACCAAUAGCUUGCACCGUGCACCUGGAAAAGUGGCAGACACUCAAUGCCAGCCCAUGAAAGCAACCAGGAGGGAGGCUGUACCCUACAAAGCCACAGAAUGGAGCUGCCCAAGACCAUGGGAACACACCUCUUGCAUCUGUAUGACCUGGAUGUGAGAAAUGGAGUCAAAGAAGAUCAUUUUGGAGCUUUAAGAUUUGACUGCCCCCCUGGAUUUCAAACUUGGAUGGGGUCUGUAGCUCCUUCGUUUUGGCCAGUUUCUUCCAUUUGGAACAGCUGUAUUUGACCAAUGACAGUACCCUCAUUAUAUCUAGGAAGCAACUUACUUGGUUUUGAUUUUACAGGCUCAUAGGUGGAAGAGAGUUUCCUGGUUUCAGAUGAGACUUUGGACUGGGACUUUUGGGUUAAUGCUGUAAUGAGUUAAGACUUUGGGGGACAGUUGGGAAGGCAAGAUUGUUUUUUGAAAUGUGAAAGUGACAUGAGAUUUGGGAGGGUCUGGGGGCAGAAUGAUGUGGUUUGGGUGUUUCCCGACCCAAAUUUCAUCUUGAAUUGUAAUAAUCCACACAUGUCAAGAACAGGGCCAGGUGAAGAUACUUGAAUCAUGGGGGUGAUUUCCUCCAAACUGUUCUCAUGGUAGUGAAUAAAUCUCAAGAGAUCUGAUGGUUUUAUAAAUGGGAUUUCCUCUGCACAAACUUUCUUUCCUGUCACCAUGUAAGACGUGACUUUGCUCAUCAUUCAUCUUCCACCAUGUUUGUAAGGCCUCCCCAACUAUAUGGAACUGUGAGUCAAUUAAACCUCUUUCCUUUAUAAAUUACCCAGUUUUGGGUAUGUGUUUAUUAGCAGCAUGAGAACAGACUAAUACACUCAACCACCUGCUCAAACAUAUCUGACCCAGUCUGAACUCAAGGUAGGACCCCCAAUACACAUGAAAAGCUUUGUAGGCCUUGUCACCUUCACAUUACCUUACCUUGACUCUGAACCAGGAAUUAAUUACCAUGAAAUAAAGGAUGAUGCAAAUGUUGAUGUUGGGUCCAAUCUGUAGUAGUGACAGGAAGUGCUCCACAAGAACACAUAAGUAGGAGUGAAAAGGGGUGCUUCCAUAAGAAGAUGGUUUCUGACAGGUACAGUGGCUCAUGCCUGUAAUCCCAGCACUUUGGGAGGUCAAAGCAGGUGGAUCCUUUGAGCUCAGUAGUUCAAGAUCAGCCUCAGCAACGUGGCAAAACUCCUUCUGUACCAAAGAUACAAAAAAUUAGCUGGGGGUAGUGUCGAGCACCUGUGGUCCCAGCUACUCAGGAGCCUAAGGUGGGAGGAUUGCUUGAGCCUGGGAGGAGGAGAUUGCAGAGAGCUGUGAUCACACCACUGAACUCCAG